UCUAAGUGGGUGGUAAACUCCAUCUAAGGCUAAAUAUGACCACGAGACCGAUAGCGAACAAGUACCGUGAGGGAAAAUUGAAAAGAACUUUGAAGAGAGAGUUCAAGAGUACGUGAAACCGUUCAGGGGUAAACCUGAGAAACUCGAAAGUUCGAACGGGGAGAUUCAUUGUCAGCGAGGCCGGCUUCGCCACGGCUCGCGAUGCCGAGAACGUUCGCGUCCUUUGGCACGCGUCCGCGGUGCAAAGCUCGGUAACGCCGUCGUGCACUUCUCCCCAAGUAGGACGUCGCGACCCGUUGGGUGUCGGUCUAAGGCCCGGUGGGAGGCCCGUCGACGGCGUUCGCGCCGUUUCGGCGGACCCCCGGUUGCCCGUCCGGCUGCCCGGUGGUACACGCACGGUAUAGAGCCUCAUAUCGAACUGAGUCGGGCCCGUCGCAAGCCUGGUCAGAGUUUCCCGGUGGUUCGGACCUAGCGCCGUCCCGGGCCUGGCCGGCUGUUGGCAGGCGGUGUCCUCCGACAGGCUC
rnacentral:rRNA from 1 species